rnacentral:rRNA from 1 species
AUUGAACGCUGGCGGCAGGCCUAACACAUGCAAGUCGAGCGGAUGAAGGGAGCUUGCUCCUGGAUUCAGCGGCGGACGGGUGAGUAAUGCCUAGGAAUCUGCCUGGUAGUGGGGGAUAACGUCCGGAAACGGGCGCUAAUACCGCAUACGUCCUGAGGGAGAAAGUGGGGGAUCUUCGGACCUCACGCUAUCAGAUGAGCCUAGGUCGGAUUAGCUAGUUGGUGGGGUAAAGGCCUACCAAGGAGACGAUCCGUAACUGGUCUGAGAGGAUGAUCAGUCACACUGGAACUAUGACACGGUCCAGACUCCUACGGGAGGCAGCAGUGGGGAAUAUUGGACAAUGGCCGUAAGCCUGAUCCAGCCAUGUCGCGUGUGUGAAGACGGUCUUCGGAUUGUAAAGCACUUCAAGUUGGGAGGAAGCGCAGUAAGUUAAUAACUUGCUGUUUUGACGUUCCAAAACGAAUAAGCACCGACUAACUUCGUG